rnacentral:rRNA from 1 species
GAUGAACGCUGGCGGCGUGCCUAACACAUGCAAGUCGAGCGAUUCUCUUCGGAGAAGAGCGGCGGACGGGUGAGUAACGCGUGGGUAACCUGCCCUGUACACACGGAUAACAUACCGAAAGGUAUGCUAAUACGAGAUAAUAUGCUUUUAUCGCAUGGUAGAAGUAUCAAAGCUCCGGCAGUACAGGAUGGACCCGCGUCUGAUUAGCUAGUUGGUAAGGUAACGGCUUUACCAAGGCGACGAUCAGUAGCCGACCUGAGAGGGUGAUCGGCCACAUUGGAACUGAGACACGGUCCAAACUCCUACGGGAGGCAGCAGUGGGGAAUAUUGCACAAUGGGCGAAAGCCUGAUGCAGCAACGCCGCGUGAGCGAUGAAGGCCUUCGGGUCGUAAAGCUCUGUCCUCAAGAAGAUAAUGACGGUACUUGAGGAGGAAGCCCGGCUAACUACGUGCCAGCAGCCGCGGUAAU